rnacentral:rRNA from 1 species
GACGAACGCUGGCGGCGUGCUUAACACAUGCAAGUCGAACGGAAAGGCCCUGCUUUUGUGGGGUGCUCGAGUGGCGAACGGGUGAGUAACACGUGAGUAACCUGCCCUUGACUUUGGGAUAAGUUAAGGAAACUGGGGUUAAUACCGGAUAGGAGCCCCUGUUGCAUGGUGGGGGUUGGAAAGUUUCGGCGGUUGGGGAUGGACUCGCGGCUUAUCAGCUUGUUGGUGGGGUAGUGGCUUACCAAGGCUUUGACGGGUAGCCGGCCUGUGAGGGUGACCGGCCACAUUGGGACUGAGAUACGGCCCAGACUCCUACGGGAGGCAGCAGUGGGGAAUAUUGCACAAUGGGCGGAAGCCUGAUGCAGCAACGCCGCGUGCGGGAUGACGGCCUUCGGGUUGUAAACCGCUUUCGCCUGUGACGAAGCGUGAGUGACGGUAAUGGGUGAAGAAGCACCGGCUAACUACGUG